GAUAUUAUUAUUGGUGCAGCUGAAUGUUAACUUGGCUGGACUGCCUGCACUGGUGCUGCCAUGUGGAUUAAUUGAAGGUGGACCCGCCGGCCUUCCUGUUGGACUUCAAAUGAUUGGUGCUGCCUUUGAUGAGCUUUUCAACAUAUUUCAGAUGAUUUCCGAAAAUAUUAGGCAGGCAUUCAAGUUUCAGCGACAAAAAGAACCCUAGAAAUUCAAUGUUCAGGAACAUUUGAUGGCGUCUUGGAGCUUAUGGUUUAUGCUAGUAGAAGUCUGCCUAAAGCUAUCAUGAUGAUGAUACCUGAGGCGUGGCAAAAUGUUAAAAACAUGGAUCGUGAUAGAAAAGCCUUAUACGAAUAUUUUUCAGCUCUUGUGGAGCCAUGAGAUGUCCCUGCACUUAUAUCAUUUACUGAUGGCCACUAUCUUGGAGCGACAUUGGACCGGAAUGGAUUGCGCCUCAGUCGCUUUUACAUCACACAUAGUGGACGCGUGAUCAUGGCCAGUGAGGUUGGUGUUGUAGACAUCUGUCAGGAGAUGUGGCUAGGAAAGGAAGACAUCUGAUCGGUCCAGAAGGGGACCUUACUGAAACAGUUCAUGUGGAAGGCCAUGUGGCAGUUCAUGUGCAUUUGUAUUUUGUUUUGAAAAAAUUAAAUAGACCAUUAAUUGUUUUGUUGAUAUUGUGCAGAAUUGUUGUCUUGAUGAAUGUUAAAUGGGUGAAAUAUGCACAUGUUCAAUCAUUUGUUGAUUA